rnacentral:lncRNA from 1 species
AAGUAUCUAGCUAGCUUAAUCUUCCUCCUAAGUAAACUGAAUUUCUACAUAUAGUGCAUCAAUAAUGCAUUUGUCCUCUCUUAAUUGUGUAUAAAAAAAAAGAAAAGAAAGAAGAGAAAAGAGCAUUCUGAUAGCAUAAAAUUAUAUUGAGCAUGCAUAUAUUUUAACAAAUAGUAAUACAGCCACAUCAAGUCAGGGAAAGGGACAAAUUAAAGAAUGAAGAGUAGUACUAGCAUAGGAAAUAUAAAAUAUUGCGGUAAAGAUUAAUUCAAAGAAAAUCAUAACAUAAAGCAAUCUAAGUACAUACAUGUAUGUGACCCAACGACUAUGACUGUGACGAUGACAGCUACAACUAUUAUGAUGACUACAAUUAUUUAGAUGAUGACUAUGACAACUAAGAAAUUAAUAACAUAUCUCUAUGGUGGAAUUUAAUUGCUUGUUUAAAUUACAUCUCCAACAGCACCCCAAAAAAUUCAAAAUUAAAUAUC